rnacentral:rRNA from 1 species
UACGUAGGGUGCAAGCGUUGUCCGGAAUUAUUGGGCGUAAAGAGCUUGUAGGCGGUUUGUCGCGUCUGCCGUGAAAAUCCGGGGCUCAACCCCGGACUUGCGGUGGGUACGGGCAGACUAGAGUGUGGUAGGGGAGACUGGAAUUCCUGGUGUAGCGGUGAAAUGCGCAGAUGUCAGGAGGAACACCGAUGGCGAAGGCAGGUCUCUGGGCCACUACUGACGCUGAGAAGCGAAAGCGUGGGGAGCGAACAGG